UACGUAGGGUGCAAGCGUUAUCCGGAAUUAUUGGGCGUAAAGAGCUCGUAGGCGGUUUGUCGCGUCUGCUGUGAAAACUGAGGCUUACCUACGCAGCCUGCAGUGGGUACGGGCAGACUAGAGUGUGGUAGGGGAGAUUGGAAUUCCUGGUGUAGCGGUGGAAUGCGCAGAUAUCAGGAGGAACACCGGUGGCGAAGGCGAGUCUCUGGGCCGAUACUGACGCUGAGGAGCGAAAGCGUGGGGAGCGAACAGG
rnacentral:rRNA from 1 species